UGGUUUGAUCAUGGCUCAGGACGAACGCUGGCGGCGUGCUUAACACAUGCAAGUCGAGCGGUAAGGCUCCUUCGGGAGUACACGAGCGGCGAACGGGUGAGUAACACGUGAGCAAUCUGCCCUUCACUUCGGGAUAACUCCGGGAAACCGGUGCUAAUACCGAAUACGACCACUUCAGGCAUCUGAUGGUGGUGGAAAGUUCCGGCGGUGAAGGAUGAGCUCGCGGCCUAUCAGCUUGUUGGUGGGGUAACGGCCCACCAAGGCAACGACGGGUAGCCGGCCUGAGAGGGUGACCGGCCACACUGGGACUGAGACACGGCCCAGACUCCUACGGGAGGCAGCAGUGGGGAAUAUUGGACAAUGGGCGAAAGCCUGAUCCAGCAACGCCGCGUGAGGGAUGACGGCCUUCGGGUUGUAAACCUCUUUCAGUACCGACGAAGCGCAAGUGACGGUAGGUACAGAAGAAGCACCGGCCAACUACGUGCCAGCAGCCGCGGUAAUAAGU
rnacentral:rRNA from 1 species